UAGAGUAGAGGUUGCGAAGCAUAUCAAGAAAUAUUAAGGGAUUUUUCUAAAGUCACUAGAGCAUAAUGUAAAAUCACAAACGGUGAUAGUGAGGUUACUGUUUUCCUAUAGGGCCAAAACACUUUUCUUCGUUUGUGUUUAGUGCGCAGGAACACACAUUUUCUUCUGCGCUGUAGUGAAAUUAACGUGCUCCUAUACACAGGUGAAAAGUCCAUGUAACCUCACAAAAGAAAGCAAAGCAAAACAAACAAAAAACAAGAGCAGGAGAUUUGAAACAUCAGGAAACGCUGUAGUAUAGAUGCUCUGUUGAUCUGAAUCCUCAAUCUUUAUUCUUACUCUGAGUGGUUUAUCUCUACCCACUGGAUGAGAAAAAGCUGAAACUUCUCACUGCUUUCUUAAGACUGCUGCUUGGCUGUCGGAAUAUCUUUGAGAAAUAACCUUGGCAACGCAGGAACCUUUCGAUGCAGACUUCUGUUGCAGCCUGUUCCUACGUGGCACAAGGUCGUUAAAGAUCUGAAAAGGCCAAGAAAAGUUAAGGAUUAAAGUGCCAAAGGAAAAAGCAUUCGUUUUCCACCGUCCUCAAAAACAACCACCACCACCAAAUACUUCCUUUUAUAAAAAGGGAUAAAUAUAUAGAACACAAAAGGAUAACGGAGCUGCUUAGGUUCUAAGCACAUCUCGAUUGGAAGGAUCACACCUUUUUCGACAGGGUCGGAAGGCUGGAAGUACUUAGCAGGCUAUCCAUCCCACUCAAGGACAAAGGAAGUUGAAAGAAACCUUUGGAUAAUAACAGACAUGCAGUGAAGAUUCCUGUGAGAUUCCGGAUUGGGAGGAGGUGAGGCUCAGGGGUGUUGAUACCUCUGCAGGAACCAUCGUGCACAGGAGUCACAGGCAGACCAGCAAGCUCGGCCUGGAGCUCCCAGCUUAAGACAGUGAAGUUUUAUAGAUCAACCUUAACACUGGAUGGACUAUAUCUUCAAGACAAUAUGUAUAUAUCCUAAAACCAACAAGUUGAUGGUGUUUAUUUAUCUUAAAUAUUAGCUUAUAUAGUCCAAAUGAUCUACAUUGGAAUUGUCUGGAAUGUAGCUACGAUUCAGAUAUUAAUGAAAAAUAAAGUAACUUGUCCUACACUCACUGGUAAAACACUUUGGGUACUUAUUUCUAUUGAUGAAUUAUGCAUGCAAAGGCCGAAUGGGGCGCACUGAUUUAUUUUUCCUCUUUUAUGCCUUGAUUUUCAGGCUGUGUGCA